GACGAACGCGGGCGGCGUGCCUAAUACAUGCAAGUCGAACGCACGAAGUUGAAGAGCUUGCUCUUUAACCAAGUGAGUGGCGGACGGGUGAGUAACACGUGGGUAACCUGCCCAUUAGAGGGGGAUAACAUUCGGAAACGGAUGCUAAUACCGCAUAGUUUCAGGAAUCGCAUGAUUCUUGAAGGAAAGGUGGCUUCGGCUACCACUAAUGGAUGGACCCGCGGCGUAUUAGCUAGUUGGUGAGGUAAUGGCUCACCAAGGCAAUGAUACGUAGCCGACCUGAGAGGGUGAUCGGCCACACUGGGACUGAGACACGGCCCAGACUCCUACGGGAGGCAGCAGUAGGGAAUCUUCCGCAAUGGACGAAAGUCUGACGGAGCAACGCCGCGUGAGUGAAGAAGGUUUUCGGAUCGUAAAACUCUGUUGUUAAAGAAGAACAAGGAUGAGAGUAACUGCUCAUCCCCUGACGGUAUUUAACCAGAAAGCCACGGCUAACUACGUGCCAGCAGCCGCGGUAAUACGUAGGUGGCAAGCGUUGUCCGGAUUUAUUGGGCGUAAAGCGAGCGCAGGCGGUUCUUUAAGUCUGAUGUGAAAGCCCCCGGCUCAACCGGGGAGGGUCAUUGGAAACUGGAGAACUUGAGUGCAGAAGAGGAGAGUGGAAUUCCACGUGUAGCGGUGAAAUGCGUAGAUAUGUGGAGGAACACCAGUGGCGAAGGCGACUCUCUGGUCUGUAACUGACGCUGAGGCUCGAAAGCGUGGGGAGCAAACAGG
rnacentral:rRNA from 1 species